UGGCUCAGUUGGUAAAGGAUGGCACUUGCAAUGCCAGGAUUGUGGGUUUGAUUCCCGC
rnacentral:tRNA from 1 species